rfam:Flavonifractor plautii ATCC 29863 genomic scaffold Scfld191, whole genome shotgun sequence.
UCGGUUGUGGCUGCAACGGAGUGCUCUCGCGCACGGGCUGAAUGGACAU